rnacentral:rRNA from 1 species
CAGUCGCCACGGGAAUACGGAGGGUGCAAGCGUUAAUCGGAAUUACUGGGCGUAAAGCGCACGCAGGCGGUUUGUUAAGUCAGAUGUGAAAUCCCCGGGCUCAACCUGGGAACUGCAUUUGAAACUGGCAAGCUAGAGUCUCGUAGAGGGGGGUAGAAUUCCAGGUGUAGCGGUGAAAUGCGUAGAGAUCUGGAGGAAUACCGGUGGCGAAGGCGGCCCCCUGGACGAAGACUGACGCUCAGGUGCGAAAGCGUGGGGAGCAAACAGGAUUAGAGACCCCGGUAGUCCCUGUCUCUUAUCC